AGUGAACGCUGGCGGUAGGCCUAACACAUGCAUGUCGAACGGCAGCACAGUAAGAGCUUGCUCUUACGGGUGGCGAGUGGCGGACGGGUGAGGAAUACAUCGGAAUCUACUUUUUCGUGGGGGAUAACGUAGGGAAACUUACGCUAAUACCGCAUACGACCUACGGGUGAAAGCAGGGGAUCUUCGGACCUUGCGCGAUUGAAUGAGCCGAUGUCGGAUUAGCUAGUUGGCGGGGUAAAGGCCCACCAAGGCGACGAUCCGUAGCUGGUCUGAGAGGAUGAUCAGCCACACUGGAACUGAGACACGGUCCAGACUCCUACGGGAGGCAGCAGUGGGGAAUAUUGGACAAUGGGCGCAAGCCUGAUCCGGCCAUACCGCGUGGGUGAAGAAGGCCUUCGGGUUGUAAAGCCCUUUUGUUGGGAAAGAAAAGCAGCAGGUUAAUACCCCGCUGUUCUGACGGUACCCAAAGAAUAAGCACCGGCUAACUUCGUG
rnacentral:rRNA from 1 species